rnacentral:rRNA from 1 species
UACGGAGGGUGCAAGCGUUAUCCGGAUUCACUGGGUUUAAAGGGUGCGUAGGUGGGUCUGUAAGUCAGUGGUGAAAUCUCCGAGCUUAACUUGGAAACUGCCAUUGAUACUAUAGAUCUUGAAUACUGUGGAGGUCAGCGGAAUAUGUCAUGUAGCGGUGAAAUGCUUAGAUAUGACAUAGAACACCAAUUGCGAAGGCAGCUUGCUACACAAAUAUCGACACUGAGGCACGAAAGCGUGGGGAUCAAACAGG